AAGGCGGCUGUGGCGCCCGGGGUGCAUGAGGCUGCGCUGGCCACUCUCGGGAACGGGUUGGGGGCCCUUCUUUGUUUUCUUUUUUUUUUAAGCUUUUAAGAGGAAGCUGCCCUUGAUUUUUCUCUCUUCUGCUUUGAGCUUUGCGGAGGACUUGAUGGUGGCCCCUGGGCUGCUUCAGUGUGGAGUCAGCCGCCGCACUGUGUGUCCCACGGAGGAGGAUGAGAGGUGGAGACAGGGCAAAGGAAGAGCAAAAAAACCACCCUGCGGACAAGAAGGACACUGGAAAAGGAAUGCCCUGGGAAGGGGCCUCCUCAAAAACCAUGCAAGUGUGACCAUUAAAAGAUGGGCUGUUCCAGGAGCUGGAGGGUCUCCAGACAAGAACCUACCCACACGAUGGCUUUGAACUGAAGGGGCCCUAUGUUCCAGUUAGCUCCUACUAAGAACAUCAAAAUUGAAUGGACAGAGCCUUGGGUGACCUUUAAUGUGACAGCCUCCUAAAAGUGGUCAAGGACACCAAAGGAAUGAUUCAUGUUAUCUCUGUUAUGCCUCUUAAAAAUUUUACACUGGGAAGGAACAUACGAAGAUCCAGAGCCAAGUUCGAAUGGGAAAUUCUCAGAAGUAACAAGUAUCCUGUCCAUGACAGUGGACAAGCCUAGUGUAAUAGUUCCCUAUUGGAGACAUCUGGUGGUAGAACUUCAGAUGUUUGUGAUCCACACAUUGAGGCAUUUAUAAAUUGUUUCCAGUACUCAAUGUACACUUCUAAUAAGCUAUGUGCAGCAUUUUAAAAUCUUGCAUAUUGUUUGUUCUUUAUAUCUUAAAAUUCUACAUUGAAUCUAAGAAUAUAAACUUUAUGUCACUUCAUAACAAUUAUUAUUUGCCAAGAAAUUGUUAUCCUGGAAUGUUAUAUCUUACAGAAAAGCAAGGUUCUUUGUCAAUUGUUUUAUAGUCAAGUCUAUAACCAUGUCAUUUUAAGUUUGUCAUUUAUUAUUAUUAUGACUUUGUUCAAAACAUCACUAAUUUUUAAGAAAUAUUUCUGUUUUCCAGGUAUAAGAAAGUUUAUUUAAUAAAUUAUACCUUCAUAAACAAUAUUGAGGCAUUUAUGUUUUUCUCCCUACCUGAUCCCUCCAGAAUUUGACAGCUCUCAAUGAGUGAGCAUUAUUUUUAUAGAAAUAUAUUUGUUUGCAUAAAUCCAAUAAGAAUCUAUUCACUUUAUAAAACCAAGUUCCAAUUGCAGGUCUAUUAACCAAGACUUUGACUGGAAUGUCAUGUUUGAGAGAGACAUGCUAGGACUCUGGAUGUCACCAAAAGCCUUAAGGAAUAAAAGACUGACUUUAAAGCCAAUAAGAUUACCUUGGAGAAAUGGCCUGGUACCUUGCUUGUUCAUUUGGUUCACAGCACUCUUUCCAGGUAAGGAACAAAGGUUGCUUUCCUGGGAGAUGGCAGAGAGAACCUCAAGACAUUUUGGUGACCUCAAGAACUUGAGGAAUCCACUCAGACCCUUACAGGCAAAGCCAGAUGGCAACUGUGUGGCUUGGCUUCUAUGUCCUGAAGGGCUGACGGAAGCUCAACCUAGGUAUUUCUUAUAAGUGAAAUUCCAGCAAAGUAAAUCUAAAAGAGACUUAUAAUCAGUUACUAUUCUUAUUGUGUUUAUACAAAUAAUAAGGUCAAGUUAAAACCUAAUACAGUCUCUUUAAUAAAAAUGAGGGUGAUUUUAGGGAGAGAAAUUUUGUUUCAAUAAAAAUCACAAUGCCCAAUUGUAGGUAUUAAACUCCAUUGCAAUUAACUGUUUUCAAAGUUUUAAGAAAGUUUUAUACAGACCUCAGCACCUGAUAACAUCAUCAGAGAUAUUCUACCUACAGACAAUCUAUCAAAUUGUCACUGCUUACUUUCUUUCCAGCAAAAGCCUUCUCAAUUGGUUUAUAAUUCUCUAUAUUGAUUAAACUUUGUGUUCUUUCUGUUUGUAUAGGUUAUAUGCCUAUGACCUUAACAAAUACCUAACUUUUUUAUGACCUACUUUUUUAUCUCGAAAUAAACCUAUUUUAAGUCCCCACAGGAACAUCAAUGGGCUACUCUUAUGAGUCUAAUAAGGACAUCAAGUUCCUCUUCCAGAUACAAAAAAACCUAUACAAUAAGUAAUGUAAUAACUAAACAUUAAUACAGUAGGGCCUUGACUUACGAGUUUAAUUCGUUCCGUGACAGAACUCGUAACUCAAA